UAUGGAGAAAAAGGAAGGAAGGAAAGGGGUAAGUUGUUAUUUUAAGUUAGGUAGUCAAGAAAGGCCUCACUGACAAGGUGACAUUUAAGCAAAAGCCUGAAGGAAGAGCCUAUUUGGAAAUUUUUCUUGGAGGCCUCUGGAAGCCCUCUCAGCCCUGCCAGCUUUGGAGGAGGGCUUCCCAGCAUGGGUGCACUUAAGAUCCCAGGUGAUCCUUUGGACUCCCACAGGAUUUGCAUCCUUCCCAAAAUCUGCGUGAAGACAAGCCACAGAAAGAACAGGUCAUAAGAUCUCCUGAAACACUUCACCCACCAGCCAGACCCACAGUCUCUAAAGGUCUCUGUGCUUCUGAGAAUUCUCUCACGACCAACAUAAUAUUUAUCCAGCCUCAGCAUCUAGUGCAUCACAAGUCCUGUCAACUUACCUCCAAAGUGACUCUCAAAUGACCCAUCUCCAUCUCAACUACCACCACCCUCGUCCAAGCUGUCACCACAACCUGCCUCAAUGACUGCCAUGAUCUCCUAAUUCAUCUGCCUGCCUAGAUUCUUGUUUUUCACUCACUUAUCUCACACUAGAAGCUGGAGAGGAUUUCUUAGAAUGCAAAUAUGAUUGGGUCUACUCCUGCAUGAAAGUCUCCAAUGACCAAUAAACAUUUGAAAAGUU